rnacentral:rRNA from 1 species
AAGAGGAAAGAGCUCAAAGUUGGAACCUGUUUGGCUUAGCUAAACCGGAUUGUAAACUGUAGAAGUGUUUUCCAGGUACGCCAGGUAAAAAAGUCCUUUGGAACAGGGCAUCAUAGAGGGUGAGAAUCCCGUCUUUGGCCUGAGCUGUUGCCUUUUGUGAUACACUUUCAAAGAGUCAGGUUGUUUGGGAAUGCAGCCUAAAUUGGGUGGUAAAUCUCACCUAAAGCUAAAUAUUUGCGAGAGACCGAUAGCGAACAAGUACCGUGAGGGAAAGAUGAAAAGAACUUUGAAAAGAGAGUUAAACAGUAUGUGAAAUUGUUAAAAGGGAACCGUUUGGAGCCAGAUUGGCUUGACUGUAAUCAACUUAGGCUUUGGCCUGAGUGCACUUGCGGUCUAUGCCUGCCAACGACAGUUUUGUUUGGGGGAAAAAAUUAUAAGGAAUGUGGCCCCUCGGGGUGUUAUAGCCUUAUAAAAAAUACCCUGGAUGGGACUGAGGAACGCAGUGAAUGCCUUUAGGCAAGGUUGCUAGGCGCUUUCGUUGAUAAAUGCUAGAAUUUCUGCUUUGGGUGGUGCUAGUGUUUAAAGAUGAAACUCGUUUGGUAUACUUUUUAUUCGCUUAGGUUGUUGGCUUAAUGACUCUAAAUGACCCGUCUUGAAACACGGACCACAAAAUCCAGAGCAGAAAUUCUAGCAUUUAUCAACGAAGCGCCUUAGCAACCUUGCCCUAAAGGCAUUCACUGCGUUCC